AUUGAACGCUGGCGGCAUGCCUUACACAUGCAAGUCGAACGGUAACGGGCCUUCGGGUGCCGACGAGUGGCGAACGGGCGAGUAAUACAUCGGAACGUGCCCGAUCGUGGGGGAUAACGAGGCGAAAGCUUUGCUAAUACCGCAUACGAUCUACGGAUGAAAGCAGGGGACCGCAAGGCCUUGCGCGGACGGAGCGGCCGAUGGCAGAUUAGGUAGUUGGUGGGAUAAAAGCUUACCAAGCCGACGAUCUGUAGCUGGUCUGAGAGGAUGAUCAGCCACACUGGGACUGAGACACGGCCCAGACUCCUACGGGAGGCAGCAGUGGGGAAUUUUGGACAAUGGGCGCAAGCCUGAUCCAGCCAUGCCGCGUGCAGGAUGAAGGCCUUCGGGUUGUAAACUGCUUUUGUACGGAACGAAAAGCCUUCUUUUAAUACAGGAGGGUCAUGACGGUACCGUAAGAAUAAGCACCGGCUAACUACGUG
rnacentral:rRNA from 1 species